rnacentral:rRNA from 1 species
UACAGAGGUCUCAAGCGUUGUUCAGAUUCAUUGGGCGUAAAGGGUGCGUAGGCGGCGCGGAUAGUCGGCGGUGAAAGCCCGGAGCUCAACUCCGGGUCGGCCGUCGAUACUUCCGGGCUUGAGCACUGUAGAGGCAGAUGGAAUUCCGGGUGUAGCGGUGGAAUGCGUAGAGAUCCGGAAGAACACCAGUGGCGAAGGCGACUGUCUGGCCAGAUACUGACGCUGAGGCGCGAAAGCGUGGGGAGCAAACAGG